rfam:Punica granatum cultivar Dabenzi scaffold7, whole genome shotgun sequence.
GUUACAUGAAAUAUCCGAUAAAAUUGGAACGAUACAAAGAAGAUUAGCGUGGCCCCCAAGCAAGGAUGACACUUCACAAAUCGAGAAAUGGUAUCAGAGCAAU